GGGCCAUUAGCUCAGCUGGUAGAGCAGGACACUCUUAAUGUCAAGGUCGAAGGUUCGAGCCCUUCAUGGCCCACCA
rnacentral:tRNA from 1 species